rnacentral:rRNA from 1 species
UACGUAGGGUGCAAGCGUUAAUCGGAAUUACUGGGCGUAAAGCGUGCGCAGGCGGUUAUGUAAGACAGGUGUGAAAUCCCCGGGCUUAACCUGGGAACUGCAUUUGUGACUGCAUAGCUAGAGUACGGCAGAGGGGGAUGGAAUUCCGCGUGUAGCAGUGAAAUGCGUAGAUAUGACGGAGGAACACCGAUGGCGAAGGCAAUCCCCUGGGCCUGUACUGACGCUCAUGCACGAAAGCGUGGGGAGCAAACAGG